CCCUUCGGGGCUCCUUGGUGAUUCAUAAUAACUUAACGAAUCGCAUGGCCUUGCGCCGGCGAUGGUUCAUUCAAAUUUCUGCCCUAUCAACUUUCGAUGGUAGGAUAGUGGCCUACCAUGGUUUCAACGGGUAACGGGAUUUUAGGGAAUGAUUCCGGAGAAGGAGCCUGAGAGACGGCUACUACAUCCAAGGAAGGCAGCAGGCGCGCAAAUUACCCAAUCCCGACACGGGGAGGUAGUGACAAUAAAUACUGAUACAGGGCUCUUUUGGGUCUUGUAAUUGGAAUGAGUACAAUUUAAAUACCUUAACGAGGAACAAUUGGAGGGCAAGUCUGGUGCCAGCAGCCGCGGUAAUUCCAGCUCCAAUAGCGUAUAUUAAAGUUGUUGCAGUUAAAAAGCUCGUAGUUGAACCUUGGGCCUGGCUGGCCGGUCCGCCUCACCGCGUGCACUGGUCCGGCCGGGCCUUUCCUUCUGGCAAACCUCAUGCCCUUCACUGGGUGUGUUGGGGAACCAGGACUUUUACUUUGAAAAAAUUAGAGUGUUCAAAGCAGGCCUAUGCUCGAAUACAUUAGCAUGGAAUAAUGAAAUAGGACGUGUGGUUCUAUUUUGUUGGUUUCUAGGACCGCCGUAAUGAUUAAUAGGGAUAGUCGGGGGCGUCAGUAUUCCGUUGUCAGAGGUGAAAUUCUUGGAUUUACGGAAGACUAACUACUGCGAAAGCAUUCGCCAAGGAUGUUUUCAUUAAUCAGUGAACGAAAGUUAGGGGAUCGAAGACGAUCAGAUACCGUCGUAGUCUUAACCAUAAACGAUGCCGACUAGGGAUCGGGCGAUGUUAUCUUUUUGACUCGCUCGGCACCUUACGAGAAAUC
rnacentral:rRNA from 1 species